UUAUGACAAUCCAUUAUCUCUCCUUUAUUUUUGCUCUAAUUUUCUCUCUCCUCCAUCUCCCUCCUUCUCUCUCCUUCCCAAAUCAAAAUCAAUGCUGAAAAUCAUCAAAUUACAGAGGAAUUUGGUUCAAUCUUCAUCGAUUUCGUCGUUAUCUUAAAAAAAUUACCUUUUCUGCUUUCUUUAAUCAUCACGUGGCUAAAUUGUUGAUUGUUGGGGGUUGAAUUGCUGAUGUCGGAGUCAGGCUUUGGUGGCGAAUGGGUGGCUGUUGUGUGGGCGUCCGAUAGAGAUGCGGCUGCUGAUGUUGCGGCUGGACUGCUGUGGUAGUUAUUGCGAUAGCUGGUCAUGUGAAUUGGCGAAGGUUAAUUGUGGAUUUGGUGGGUGCGAGGUGGAUGAACUACAUGGCUGGCUAGGCGAAUUAAGGUACGUAGCUGGUGAUUAUUGUGGGAAUGCGUAGCUACUUGUGUAAUUAUUGGGUUGCGUGGGUUGUGCUGAAGUAGGAGAAUGGCGUGGAUACUUGCAGGUUGCAGCAGGGGAGUUACAAGGUUGUUAUUGCUGCUUGUUGAUGUUGUGUAGGUUAGCUGAUGGUGGGGUGAAGGUUUAGGCUGCUUAGGGGCAGGAACAAAGGAAUGUUACCUGUACUUGUAACUUCACUAUUGAACCGAAGAACAUCAAGAAUACCCAUAUUGCCAUUUAAUAGUUUUCAUCAAAUUUGUGAGCUGCAUUAAUUUGGUGUAUUUUGUACUUCAGACUGCUUGUUGCAAGGAGUAUUUGAAGGCGAUUCUUACUAGUUGUCUAUG